GCUGUGGGCUGCAGAGAGUAGAGAACCCCUUGUUGGACAGUGAGCGGAAGGCCUGGGGUGGCAGGUGGCCCCGGAGGUCCCGGAGGUCCUGGGAUCCCAGUUUCUCCUGGAAGUCCUCUUGGUCCUGGAGGUCCCAGAAGCCCUGCAAAGAAAUAGAAGAGGAGAUUUCUGACAAGUUGGAGACACAUUAGCAGAUGCACUGGGGCAAAGAGAGACUGAGGAGGAUGCGCAGGAUAGAACAGCUUCUCUGGGGAAGAGUUUGAAGAUUUCUACUUGAAAAAAAUAUUCAUUAUCGACCGAACUUGUAGGAAAUGGGGGGGGGGGGAGAGAAAGAAUGAAAAGCCGUAGUUUUGGCUCAGAACCACAUCUGGUAAGUGAAAUAAAAGCCCUUUCACUUGGCUUGAAAUGUCAUCAGGCACCUGACAAUGACAGCAACACAGUCCCACCCUGUCCCGAUUAGCAAAAUGCAGAGGAUUUUUAACUUUUGUCAGAGGUGUGGUGUGGGCAUUCGUCACCCCUGAAAGUCAGCUCACGCUUAUCUAGCGGUCCUAAAUAUGGAUAAUUUGGGGCUGAGCCUAUUUUGCUUCAGUUUCCCCAUCUGCAAAACAAAGAUCAUAAGGACUGACCGGCUCAAGGGCAUUGUGAGGUUUAACAACUUAAGGAUGAAACUCACUCCUGUGCAGAGAGUCUGCACGUGGGCUGGAGUUCUACAUAGGCCUCACGCUGCAAUUCUGCGGGGAGGGGAAGAAAUCACCCUAAUGUUCAAAGGGCUUUGAGUUCCUCCCAUGGAAGGCAGCGAAGAAAUACAAAGUAUUAUUCUGAGCGACCCUCUCAAGCAGGUCGGGAACCCAAUCGUGCAAUGGGCAGAUUAAUGCUGCUCUCUUUGGGGUCGGAGGGAUCUUUUGUUUCUGAGGAACCAGAGUCAGACAUCCUGGACCAGACCUUAGCCAUUUUCAGGACCGCAGCAAAUGCCAAGACAUCUCUGGGGCCACUCUCACAUUUAAGGCACACUCCGGGUUUCAAAUGUUUCCCUGGCUUGGAGAUUUAUGAAGCACUGCUAAUCAGUACGUAUGAAACACAAACGCCGCUUGUCUGGCACUUGGCGUAGCAUUGUCUCCAUCACAAGAUUUAGUAACAGUUAAGUCUCCUAGCUCAAGGAUAGGUUAUACUCAGAAGAGACGGCCCUAUCUAUAACACUUUCUUUUAAUGUAGACAGCAUUAUUGUUUCAAUGUUAACCAUCUGAUUGCUUGAUGUACCUGAGGAGAGAAGCAAAAUUCCUCCCCAUGAACUAGGCAUGCUCCCCUAUAGCAAAACGCAGCAAUGAAUGGGCUAAACAGGAAAAAAGCUCUUCUCCGCUCACUAGCUGGACAAUGACUGGUUUUACAUCUCCUAUUGGAUGCUGCUGGCAUCCCAGAAUAAUCACUCUUCAGCUACAUGGAGGGGCUAAGGGGGUGUCUAUGUUAAUUUAAAACUUUCGGCCCAGUCCUGGGAGGGGCUGAAUGUCCUCAGUACUCACUGAUCCGUGGGAGUUGAUUCAAUGGGACCUAAAGAUGCUCAGCACGUCAUGUGAUCAGGCCCUUUCUGUGCAGAGGAGUUUGUCCAGAGUAAGAUGAGCUUCCUAGCACGAGUUUCUCUCAGAGACUCACCUGGUGGCCCUGCUGGCCCUCUCUCGCCAGUUUGUCCCCUGUCUCCUUUUGGUCCCGGUGGUCCUGGAAGUCCAACUGGUCCAAUUGGGCCUGGGGGCCCAAUCUGCCCUGGUAGCCCUGCAAACAUUCAAAUAGGAAACUUGUUGGAGCUUAGAACACUGGAGUUGUUAUACGUGCUUACACAUCAGAAAGGAACCCAAAGAGAUUUUGAAAGGUACAGCUGACUCAGGGGGAGUUCCUGCUCUGUUUGGCUGGAGCAGAGGAGAGUGGUGUUGACCCCGUGAGUGCCAGCCUACCAGAACAUGGGGCAGGAAAGCUCCGCUCACCGAUCACAUGCUGCAAACAGCAGCAUCUGUGCUAGUCAGCAGAUCAUGCCCAUUGGAGUGUUGAUUCACAGGGCAGCAUGCUAGCCAGUGCCUCCAUCCUUGUGUUAAUCUAAAAUUGGUGUGGCCCCCUUCCCAAACCAGUAUACUGACAUGGCACAAGGCAGGGGUUUACAGAAGUCCCCCACUCCCUCCUUCGCCUGCUUAAUCCAGUCCCAGCCUUUAGUCCCAUACAAGCCUAAUAGGACAUGAUCCAGUUGGUACCUAUGUGAAAGCAGGUACUACACUGACUUCCACCACCACAAAGAGAUUGUCUAUUACACAUCAAAGGAGUGGUAUGUCUCCUCCAUGCACUUAGUACUCCAUUAUAUCUAAUAUAUGUCCCAGUUAAUACAAACAUUGCCCGCGUCAAGAAACACGCGUGAUUGAACCAAACCCAGCGUGGCAGCUAGAUGUUACCCGUUUGUACCACUGAGGAGCGUGCUGAACAAAAAUACAUGGAGAUACUUGUAACAUAGUGACCGCAGUUAAGUGAGUUACAGAGCAAUUCCUCGGAAACCCUGGGUAAGCAGACAGAAGGCACAGAGAGCAGGGUGUACGUUGUACGCAAGCAGGAAGGCAGCUCAUCCUGCAGGCUCUAAGUUGAGGAAAGGUUGAAUGGUUUAAACAUCUCUGCUGUUUCCUUUGGGCUGACAAAAUAAUAAUAAUGUUUAUCACUUAUAUAGCCUCGUGCUUUAAACACUAUGACCGUUCUUGCACACUGCUUAAUCCUGAAAGGUAGGUAAAUGGUUUUGGCCCCAAAGAAAAAUGACUCGCCUAAGGGCGCUGAGCAAGUCAGUGUCAGAGACAGGGUUAGAAAAACUCAGGAAUUCCUGGCUCCUAGAUCUGUGCUACCAGCGGCUUUAGAAUACUCAGAAAGAGAGAGAGAUGCAAGCCACAACUUUGGGGAAGUUUAGUUCUGAAUGUUCAGAUUUGGGGUAUUGGUUCAGGCCCAACUUUACUCGUAAAUGUAGCGAAUGGAAAACGUAACUCUCAAAACACACAGAGGGCAGGUUUCAUUUUCAUACACUUUUAAACUGUCAGAUAGGGAAAUGCCACCCUUUCUCUCCUCUCCACCACAGCUAGAUAUCAGGAGAGGCACCAGCCCCUCGGACAUCGCUCCCAGCUGCCUCUGGAGGGGUGGGUUACAUUGGCUGGCCAGGUAGCAGCUUCACAGCCUGUGCGCAAGGGAUUGAAGAUCUUGCAAUAAAUGCUGAACACAUGAGAUCUGCAGCUCCAAGAGCUUCAGAUAAGCACUGGAGACCAAAUCCUUAGGAAAUGACUCGGAACUGUUCCAUUCCAGACGUGAACUUUGGUGGAACUCCAUCAGCUCCGCUAAUAAUGCAAUGGUACAGGGCCCUAGAUGCCUGCCUUUCGCUGUGUUCUGCAUACCCUCCUAAAACUGUUCUCCUUGAUUAAAUGUGUUCCUUUAACAUAGCACCUCUAACAAGCAUCAGAGCACUUAGUUCAUGUAGAGAUCGCAUCAUUUCCCCCCAUGCUGAAAUGCAGCAUUAUCCAACAGUUUUGGAAGGGAAGUACUAGGAUAAAUGCUGAUUCAGGAAAGCACUUAAGCACGUACUUAAAUCACAAGUCAAUGGGACUUGUGUGUGUUUAAGUGUGUUUUUCUCCUAAACUGAGACCAUAGUUCCUUCAAAACUGGAACAAGAAAAUAAUUGGAUGGAAGAAAAAGUGCAUCAGGCCCACUGAACUAAAUUCACCCCAGAGCUAAUGUAACUGCAGGCUUUGGAGUUAAAUUAGGGGUCAGUGUGGCCUCGUUUCUUGAUGGUGGUUUCCUGCCUCCCUCUUCAUCAACCUAGUGUUCAGAAAGCAAGACACCAGGCCCUGUGAAUAAUGACCUUGAAGUCAAGGAGGGAGUUCGGCUAGUUCGCGCCAGCAGAGAUUCAGUUCCUUCGCACUUAACCUAGCUCCCAGUUUAAUUAGUCUCUGCUGUGCCCUUGUCAGACUAAUGUGUUCCACAGAACGUUCGUCAUUUCUGGCUUUGUCGCAUUAUUGGCUCCCGCCAUGCAUUGUACUACAUAAAUUACACACUUCAUCCUUUUUGUAAGUUAAAAAAAAAAAAAAAAAGCAUCGUUCUCCUUUAUAAUUACACCAUGACUUUAUUAUGUAAAAAUCAACGCCGCACGUAAAGGCUCAAAACUACUGCAGUCAUCUCUUACUUAGCAUGAUGUAGUUCAGGGGUAACUUCAUUGAAAUCAAUGGGCCUGAUGUUCCUCUUACACCAAUGUAAAUCAGGAGAAAUUCCAUUGGAAUUUCACCCCAGGGAUUAGAGUGAAUAUUUGCACACAGGGGCUGGGAUAGUCAAAGGAUUUGGGUGCCUAACUCCUCUAACUGCCUUCGGAAAUCCCUCCCAUGGCACCUUUUACCUAAAUCAAGCUGGAAUUUGUCUGUGAAAAUAUUCCUCUGCCUUAAAAAUUGUGUGUGUGUAUUUAUCAUUCCCAUAGAACAGCCUUGCAAAAGCAUCUACCAUCCUAGGCACAGAAUUUCCUUGGCAAAAAUAAGUUGCAUGUUGUUGUGGGUGAAUAGAAAUGUUCAACGUUACU